GGGUUGUGAGGUUAAGCGACUAAGCGUACACGGUGGAUGCCCUGGCAGUCAGAGGCGAUGAAGGACGUGCUAAUCUGCGAAAAGCGUCGGUAAGGUGAUAUGAACCGUUAUAACCGGCGAUGUCCGAAUGGGGAAACCCAGUGUGAUUCGUCACACUAUCGUUAACUGAAUACAUAGGUUAACGAGGCGAACCGGGGGAACUGAAACAUCUAAGUACCCCGAGGAAAAGAAAUCAACCGAGAUUCCCCCAGUAGCGGCGAGCGAACGGGGAGCAGCCCAGAGUCUGAAUCAGCUUGUGUGUUAGUGGAACGGUCUGGAAAGUCCGACGGUACAGGGUGAUAGUCCCGUACACCAAAAUGCACAGGCUGUGAACUCGAAGAGUAGGGCGGGACACGUGGUAUCCUGUCUGAAUAUGGGGGGACCAUCCUCCAAGGCUAAAUACUCCUGACUGACCGAUAGUGAACCAGUACCGUGAGGGAAAGGCGAAAAGAACCCCGGCGAGGGGAGUGAAAAAGAACCUGAAACCGUGUACGUACAAGCAGUGGGAGCACCUUCGGGUGUGACUGCGUACCUUUUGUAUAAUGGGUCAGCGACUUAUAUUCUGUAGCAAGGUUAACCGUAUAGGGGAGCCGCAGGGAAACCGAGUCUUAACUGGGCGUUAAGUUGCAGGGUAUAGACCCGAAACCCGGUGAUCUAGCCAUGGGCAGGUUGAAGGUUGGGUAACACUAACUGGAGGACCGAACCGACUAAUGUUGAAAAAUUAGCGGAUGACUUGUGGCUGGGGGUGAAAGGCCAAUCAAACCGGGAGAUAGCUGGUUCUCCCCGAAAGCUAUUUAGGUAGCGCCUCGUGAAUUCAUCUUCGGGGGUAGAGCACUGUUUCGGCUAGGGGGUCAUCCCGACUUACCAACCCGAUGCAAACUACGAAUACCGAAGAAUGUUAUCACGGGAGACACACGGCGGGUGCUAACGUCCGUCGUGAAGAGGGAAACAACCCAGACCGCCAGCUAAGGUCCCAAAGUCAUGGUUAAGUGGGAAACGAUGUGGGAAGGCACAGACAGCCAGGAUGUUGGCUUAGAAGCAGCCAUCAUUUAAAGAAAGCGUAAUAGCUCACUGGUCGAGUCGGCCUGCGCGGAAGAUGUAACGGGGCUAAACCAUGCACCGAAGCUGCGGCAGCGACACUAUGUGUUGUUGGGUAGGGGAGCGUUCUGUAAGCCUGCGAAGGUGACCUGUGAGGGUUGCUGGAGGUAUCAGAAGUGCGAAUGCUGACAUAAGUAACGAUAAAGCGGGUGAAAAGCCCGCUCGCCGGAAGACCAAGGGUUCCUGUCCAACGUUAAUCGGGGCAGGGUGAGUCGACCCCUAAGGCGAGGCCGAAAGGCGUAGUCGAUGGGAAACAGGUUAAUAUUCCUGUACUUGGUGUUACUGCGAAGGGGGGACGGAGAAGGCUAUGUUAGCCGGGCGACGGUUGUCCCGGUUUAAGCAUGUAGGCUGGUU
rnacentral:rRNA from 1 species